CUGACUGGGUUCCACGAAACGUC
rnacentral:piRNA from 1 species